rnacentral:lncRNA from 1 species
GACCCAUUCAGAAGGUCUGAUAACUGAGGAGAGCUUUCAGAAGCUCAAAACUCUUUGAAUACAACUCUAGUUCUAGUUCUAGUUUUUCUUCGACGUCGGGUUCUUCUACAAUAUAUUGUGAUGCUUCACAGAUUGGCAUUAGGUGUUGUCACACCUACUAUUUCCUACCCUGGAAGGGUAUAAUGAAGUUUUUUCUAAUUUAAGUGACAAUCGAAACGAGAUUAUUUUAUUAAAAUAUU